GACACAUUUAAAAAACUAUUUUGAACAUCUUAAUUGGUUUUACUGAAAAACUGAAGAAAUCACUGGCCUGUUAUAGCACAAGCAAGGUACCACGAGUAGAUUUCUUUGGCCAGGAUUCACACAUCUUGUGAAACCAUUCCUUGCAGAUCGAGCAUUCAAUUAUGGCCCAGUCAUCUGUCCUUUUUGGAUUCCGGGGCUGAUAAAAGAUUCUUCUACAGUGGCAGGAACGGAGAGAUCAAUUUGGAAGUCAGGCAACUAUUAAGGUGAUAUCUCAUGGCCUUUCUGCUGUAAAUGCAGUUCGAUGGAUCUUCCCCUAAUGCCAAUGAAAGCGCGUUGGCGAUGGCAUGUAAGCCUUAGUCAUUUGGUAGUUGCUUCUGGCAUCCAACACUUUGG